CUGGCGGCGUGCCUAACACAUGCAAGUCGAACGAGAAAGUGGAGCAAUCCAUGAGUACAGUGGCGACCGGGUGAGUAACACGUGACUACCUACCCUUGAGUGGGGGAUAACCUCGGGAAACCGAGGCUAAUACCGCAUAAUAUCGAGAGAUCAAAGGAGCAAUCCGCUCUUGGAGGGGGUCGCGGCUGAUUAGCUAGUCGGUGAGGUAACGGCUCACCAAGGCGACGACGCGUAGCCGGACUGAGAGGUUGGCCGGCCUCAUUGGGACUGAGACACUGCCCAGACUCCUACGGGGGGCUGCAGUAACGAAUCUUCCGCAAUGCACGAAAGUGUGACGGAGCGACGCCGCGUGUAGGACGAAGUCCUUCGGGAUGUAAACUACUGUCAGGGGUUACCAAGUUCUGAGGAGCCCCAGAGGAAGGCACGGCUAACUCUGUGCCAGCAGCCGCGGUAAUACAGAGGUGCCGAGCGUUAGGCGGAAUCACUGGGCUUAAAGCGUGUGUAGGCGGAUGCCUAAGUACCUUGUGAAAUCCCACGGCUUAACCGUGGAACUGCUCGGUAUACUGGGUGUCUUGAGCCACUUAGGGGCUACCGGAACAAAUGGUGGAGCGGUGAAAUGCGUAGAUAUCAUUUGGAACGCCAAUGGUGAAAACAGGUAGCUGGGAGUGUGCUGACGCUGAGACACGAAAGCCAGGGGAGCGAACGGGAUUAGAUACCCCGGUAGUCCUGGCCGUAAACGAUGUCGACUAGAUCGCGGUGGCUCUGACGCCAUCGCGGUCGAAGCAAAAGUGCUAAGUCGACCGCCUGGGAAGUACGGUCGCAAGGCUAAAACUCAAAGGAAUUGACGGGGGCUCACACAAGCGGUGGAGCAUGUGGUUCAAUUCGAAGCAACGCGCAGAACCUUACCUGGGCUUGACAUGCUAGGAUUAUCCCUGUGAAAGCAGGGUAGGCCCUUCGGGGUACAACUAGUACAGGUGCUGCAUGGCUGUCGUCAGCUCGUGUCGUGAGAUGUCGGGUUAAGUCCCUUAACGAGCGAAACCUUUGCCCUUAGUUACCAGCGGGUUAUGCCGGGGACUCUAAGGGGACUGCCGGUGUCAAACCGGAGGAAGGUGGAGAUGACGUCAAGUCCUCAUGGCCUUUAUGCCCAGGGCCACACACGUGCUACAAUGGCGUCCACAAAGCGAACCGAGAGCGCAAGCUGGAGGAAAUCGCACAAAUGACGCCCCAGUUCAGAUCGGAGGCUGCAACUCGCCUCCGUGAAGUUGGAAUCGCUAGUAAUCGCGGAUCAGCUACGCCGCGGUGAAUGUGUUCCUGAGCCUUGUACACACCGCCCGUCAAGUCAUGGGAGCCGGAAAUAGCCGAAGUGGCCACAUCACUGUGGUCCCUACGCUAGGUUCGGUGAGUGGGACUAA
rnacentral:rRNA from 1 species